CGCACAGUGGUGUAGUGGUUAGCACGUUCGCCUCACACCUCCAGGGUUCGAUUCCCACCGUGCGG